rnacentral:rRNA from 1 species
CCUACGGGAGGCAGCAGUGGGGAAUUUUGCGCAAUGGGGGAACCCUGACGCAGCAACGCCGCGUGAGUGAUGAAGGCCUUCGGGUUGUAAAGCUCUUUUAGUGGGGAAGAAGCCCUCCGGGACGAAUAAUCCCGGGGUCUGACGGUACCCACAGAAAAAGUUCUGGCUAACUACGUGCCAGCAGCCGCGGUAAUACGUAGGGAGCAAGCGUUGUUCGGAAUUAUUGGGCGUAAAGAGCGCGUAGGCGGUCUAGUAAGUCUGAUGUGAAAUCCCAGAGCUUAACUCUGGAACUGCAUUGGAAACUGCUAGGCUGGAGUGCGGGAGAGGUGAGUGGAAUUCCCAGUGUAGAGGUGAAAUUCGUAGAUAUUGGGAGGAACACCGGUGGCGAAGGCGGCUCACUGGACCGCAACUGACGCUGAGGCGCGAAAGCUCGGGGAGCAAACGGGAUUAGAUACCCCGGUAGUCCGAGCCGUAAACGAUGGGCACUAGGUGUAGGAGGUAUCGACCCCUCCUGUGCCGCAGCUAACGCAUUAAGUGCCCCGCCUGGGGAGUACGGUCGCAAGACUAAAACUCAAAGGAAUUGACGG